rfam:Salmo salar isolate Sally breed double haploid chromosome ssa11, whole genome shotgun sequence.
UUCAUUCACUACUGUAAGUUGCUCUGGAUAAGAGCGUCUGCUAAAUUACUAAAA